AUUGAACGCUGGCGGAAUGCUUUUACACAUGCAAGUCGAACGGCAGCACGGGGGCAACCCUGGUGGCGAGUGGCGAACGGGUGAGUAAUACAUCGGAACGUGCCCAGUCGUGGGGGAUAACUACGCGAAAGCGUAGCUAAUACCGCAUACGAUCUACGGAUGAAAGCGGGGGAUCGCAAGACCUCGCGCGAUUGGAGCGGCCGAUGGCAGAUUGGGUAGUUGGUGAGGUAAAGGCUCACCAAGCCGUCGAUCUGUAGCUGGUCUGAGAGGACGACCAGCCACACUGGGACUGAGACACGGCCCAGACUCCUACGGGAGGCAGCAGUGGGGAAUUUUGGACAAUGGGCGCAAGCCUGAUCCAGCCAUUCCGCGUGCAGGAUGAAGGCCUCGGGUUGUAAACUGCUUUUGUACGGACGAAAAGACCCUUUCUAAUACAGAGGGUCCAUGACGGUACCGUAAGAAUAAGCAACCGGCUAACUACGUGCCAGCAGCCGCCGUAAU
rnacentral:rRNA from 1 species